UAGAGGUUAUGUGGCGCUGCUGUUUCCAUACGCUAUAUUUCUUUCGGUAAAGUUGGUUCUAUCCGGUUAAAGAGCCGAUGCGAGUUUUCUUAAAUAAUCAUUAAAGGAUAUAUAUUUUAUGUAAACCCAUAAUAUAUAUGUAUAUAUAUCAUUAUAAAAUACACGAUUUCCUUUUGAUCGUAUGAAAGAGUGAAACGUAUCACAUGUUUCUUACAAUGAUUUUCAUGUUGCACGUAAGAAUUUAUCGUUUAUAACCUAACAAAUUGUAAUAAGUCGUAUAGAAAAUUUUUUAAAGUAAUACGUAUUAAUUACGAAAGGAAUAAUAUUAUUUAUAAAUAAAAAGGGCAUAAUGAUUUAUGUGAACAAGUGUGACGAUAAAUCUUAAGUGAUUUGAUAUAUUUUUUUUUAUCUUUUCACGUAAGGAUAUUCUUGACGAUAAAAGAAUAUCAAGUCGUUUAUGUUUUACAUUAAAGAAUGUAGCAUUUGUAAUGAAAUAUAGGAUUACCUAUUGAAAUACGAAAUAUUAUAUUCGAAUUUCGUUCGAAUUUAUUUUAUUAUUGUUAUCGUCGAGAAAGGAAUUACGAAGAAAGGGGAAAAUUUAAUAAAGUGAGAUAUAAUCCGUAAGGGAAAAUUGAAAUGAGUUCUCAACAAAGUCCGGCAGCAUUGCAGUCAAGUGUGGAUCGUGAAAAAGUUUAUACAUGGAUCAUUGAAUUGUCAAAUCCUGAAACCAGAGAAAAUGCACUUUUGGAGCUCAGUAAAAAGCGUGAAGUAGUGCCAGACUUAGCACCAAUGUUAUGGCACUCAUUUGGUACUACCGCAUCUCUCUUGCAAGAGAUAAUAAAUAUUUAUCCUGCCAUUAAUCCAGCAACACUAACCGCAUAUCAAAGCAAUCGUGUAUGUAAUGCACUUGCUUUAUUACAAUGCGUUGCCAGUCAUCCAGAUACCAGAUCGGCCUUUUUACAAGCACACGUACCAUUGUUCCUUUAUCCAUUUUUGCAUACCGUAAGCAAAACAAGACCGUUCGAGUAUCUAAGAUUAACGAGUUUAGGAGUUAUAGGGGCAUUGGUUAAAACGGACGAGCAAGAAGUAAUAACAUUUUUAUUAACGACAGAAAUUAUUCCACUUUGUUUGAGAAUCAUGGAAAGUGGCUCGGAAUUAAGUAAAACCGUGGCCACUUUUAUCCUUCAGAAAAUUUUGUUAGAUGACAGCGGUCUUUCUUAUAUAUGUCAGACUUAUGAUAGGUUUAGCCAUGUUGCUAUGAUAUUAGGAAAAAUGGUAUUGUCCUUGGCAAAAGAUCCAUCAGCAAGAUUAUUAAAACAUGUUGUUAGAUGUUACUUAAGACUCUCUGAUAAUCCAAGAGCCUUAUUGGCAUUGAGACAAUGUUUACCGGAUCAAUUAAGAGAUAAUACCUUUGCAACUUGUUUACAAGAGGAUGCAUCUACCAAACAUUGGUUGAAUCAACUACUUAAGAAUUUAGAAACUGGUCCACAACCAGGUCCUCCUACUCAACCGGGUCAACAAGAUCCUAGGGCUAUUGGAAUGUCGCCGCUUACAUCUUAGAUCUUAAACUUCUAUUAUUAAAAUAAUGAUUCAUAUUUUUCUAGAGAGAGAGAGAGAGAGAGAGAGAGAGAGAGAGAGAGAGAGAGAGAGCGAUAAAUCGAGUCUUUUUUGUUCUGAGCGAUAAUAAAUAUCGCAAUAACUAAGAAAUCACAGUCUGAACUUACUAAUAUGUAAUUUAGAAUACAAAAAUAAUAUCUAAUAUCCCGACGAGUGAUGUAGAUUUUUCCUCUCUGAUCUCCUCCUUGAAAGUUCCAUGCUGUUCUGUGGAUAGGAAAAAAAAAAGAAAAAAAAAAAAAAAAAAGAAAAGAAAAGAAACAAAGAACAAACUAAAAAUUGUAUAUGCAUUGUAACAUUUGUAAAUAAUAUCUAAUGAUGAUAAACAUGGACGACGAAGGAAGGAUUAUUCUUAAAUUAUAUAUAUACAUACCGUUUCUCUUGAAAUUUUAGAACGUAAUAAACCAUGUAUGAUUGGCGUGUACAACUUUA